rnacentral:rRNA from 1 species
GAUGAACGCUAGCGAUAGGCUUAACACAUGCAAGUCGAGGGGCAGCAUGGUCUUAGCUUGCCAAGACUGAUGGCGACCGGCGCACGGGUGCGUAACGCGUAUGCAACUUGCCUCACAGAGGGGGAUAACCCGUCGAAAGACGGACUAAUACCGCGUACACUCUAUUUUGGGCAUCCAAGGUAGAGGAAAUGAAAUUCGCUGUGAGAUAGGCAUGCGUCCCAUUAGCUAGUUGGUGAGGUAACGGCUCACCAAGGCGACGAUGGGUAGGGGAACUGAGAGGUUGAACCCCCACACUGGUACUGAGACACGGACCAGACUCCUACGGGAGGCAGCAGUGAGGAAUAUUGGUCAAUGGGCGAGAGCCUGAACCAGCCAAGUCGCGUGAAGGAUGACUGUCUUAUGGAUUGUAAACUUCUUUUGUAGGGGAAUAAAGAGGGGCACGUGUGCCCCAGUGAAUGUACCCUACGAAUAAGCAUCGGCUAACUCCGUG